rnacentral:rRNA from 1 species
UACGUAGGGUGCAAGCGUUGUCCGGAAUUAUUGGGCGUAAAGAGCUCGUAGGCGGUUCGUCGCGUCGGCUGUGAAAACCUGAGGCUCAACCUCAGGCCUGCAGUCGAUACGGGCGGACUUGAGUACUGCAGGGGAGACUGGAAUUCCUGGUGUAGCGGUGAAAUGCGCAGAUAUCAGGAGGAACACCAAUGGCGAAGGCAGAUCUCUGGGACGUAACUGACGCUGAGGAGCGAAAGCAUGGGGAGCGAACAGG